rnacentral:rRNA from 1 species
UGGGGAAUAUUGGACAAUGGGCGCAAGCCUGAUCCAGCCAUGCCGCGUGAGUGAUGAAGGCCCUAGGGUUGUAAAGCUCUUUCAUCGGUGAAGAUAAUGACGGUAACCGGAGAAGAAGCCCCGCCUAACUUCGUGCCAGCAACCGCGGUAAUACGAAGGGGGCUAGCGUUGUUCGGAUUUACUGGGCGUAAAGCGCACGUAGGCGGACUUUUAAGUCAGGGGUGAAAUCCCGGGGCUCAACCCCGGAACUGCGUUUGAUACUGGGAGUCUUGAGUACGGUAGACGUGAGUGGAAUUCCGAGUGUAGCGGUGAAAUUCGUAGAUAUUCGGAGGAACACCAGUAGCGAAGGCGGCUCACUGGACCAUUACUGACGCUGAGGUGCGAAAGCGUGGGGAGCAAACAGG